CUCUUCUUGUAAUUUAUUUGAAGUAUGACCUGCCCACUGAUGUAAAGUUUUAAAGGGCCGCGGUAUUUUGACCGUGCAAAGGUAGCAUAAUCAUUAGUUUUUUAAUUGAGGACUGGAAUGAAUGGUUGGACGAGAAAUAAACUGUUUCUUAAAAAUUAGGUUUGAAUUUAAAUUUUGAGUUAAAAUGCUUAAAUUUUUUUAUGGGACGAGAAGACCCUAUAGAGUUUAAUAAAUUUUAUUGUAAUUUUGUUUGAUUUGGGUUUAUUUAUAAUAAAAUUUAUUUUGUUGGGGUGAUAGUAAGAAUUAAUUAACUCUUAUUUUUAUUUAUAUAUUUAUAUAUAAUUUUUUGAUCCAUUUUUGUUGAUUAUAAGACUAAAUUACCUUAGGGAUAACAGCGUAAUCUUUUUUGAGAGUUCUUAUCGAUAAAUGGGUUUGCGA
rnacentral:rRNA from 1 species